GAUGAACGCUGGCGGCGUGCCUAAUACAUGCAAGUCGAGCGAAGCGGGGACGGGUGAGUAACACGUGGAUAACCUCCUAUAAGACUGGGAUAACUUCGGGAAAACGGAGCUAAACCGGAUAAUUAUAGCUGAAUCAUGUAUGCAUUAGCUAGAUGGUAAGGUAACGGCUUACCAAGGCAACGAUGCAUAGCCGACCUGAGAGGGUGAUCGGCCACACUGGAACUGGGACACGGUCCAGACUCCUACGGGAGGCAGCAGUAGGGAAUCUUCCGCAAUGGGCGAAAGCCUGACGGAGCAACGCCGCGUGAGUGAUGAAGGUCUUCGGAUCGUAAACCUCUGUUAGUAGGGAAGCGGUACCUAUUCAGAAAGCCACGGCUAACUACGUGCCAGCAGCCGCGGUAAUAC
rnacentral:rRNA from 1 species